AUGGUGCGAGGCCUGCCAUGCCUCGACCAUGUGGAGCAGUUCUGCGAUAUCUGCGUGCUGACGAAGCAGAGACGACUCCCCUUUCCCCAACAGGCGAGUUUUCGGGCCAAGGAGAAGCUGGAGCUCGUGCAUGGAGACCUGUGCGGCCCGGUGACGCCAGCCACACCAGGAGGUCGACGCUACUUCCUACUGCUCGUCGACGAUCUCUCCCGCUACAUGUGGGUGAUGAUCCUCGGCAGUAAGGGAGAAGCGGCGGACGCCAUCAGGCGCGCGCAGGUUGGUGUGGAGGCGGAGAGCGGCCGCAAAUUGCGCGUGUUGCGCACUGACAACGGCGGCGAGUUCACGGCGGCUGAAUUCGCGUCGUAUUGCGCCGAUGAGGGCAUCCAGCGCCACUACUCCGCGCCGUACAGCCCACAGCAAAACGGCGUCGUCGAGCGGCGCAACCAGACGGUUGUGGGGAUGGCUCGGGCUCUCCUCAAGCAGAGAGGGAUGCCGGUUGUCUUCUGGGGAGAGGCGGUGCUAACGGCCGUCUACAUCCUCAACCGCUCUCCUACUAAGGCACUCGACGGCAGGACUCCGUACGAGGCCUGGCAUGAGCGGAAGCCGGCGGUCUCUCAUUUGCGGGUCUUUGGCUGCCUUGCGUUCGCCAAGGAGCUCGGCCACAUCGGCAAGCUCGACGACAGGAGCACUCCGGGAGUCUUCAUCGGCUACGCGGAGGGCUCAAAGGCCUACCGCAUCCUCGACCCAAAGACACAACGUGCGCGCACAGCGCGAGACGUCGUGUUCAACGAAGGGCGAGGGUGGCAAUGGGACAAGGCGGUGGACGACAGCUCGACGCCGACGUAUGACGACUUCAUUGUCGAGUACGCCCACUUCAAGGAAGCUGGGGGAGCAAGCAGCUCCUCUUCGCCGGGCAUGUCCACCCCGGCCCCCAAAACUACAUCGAUUUCGGCGCCUGCUACGCCGACGACACCACAACCGGCGACGCCGCAUACUCCAGCCCCGGCGGUCACCACUCCGGGCUCGUCUUCAUCAGCACCAGCUCACGCAGAGCACAACCCGAUGAAGUUCGCUUCCCCCCUCACUCACGACGAGGAGCGUAUCGACGCGUGGCAUGACGGCGAACCGCUACGGUACCGUACGAUGGAUAAUCUGCUCGGUGACCAGCCGGUGCCGGGACUGGUGCCACGUGACCUGGAGGCGCAGCUACAGCUCGCGUGUGAAGACGGCGAACCACGGUCCUUUGCAGAGGCCGAGAGAGACGCGGCAUGGCGCGCCGCGAUGCAGUUGGAGAUGGAUACGGUCGAGCAAAACCGCACCUGGGAGCUCGCUGAUCUCCCUCGAGGUCACCGCGCAAUCACCCUUAAGUGGGUGUUCAAGCUGAAGAGGGAUGGAGCCGGCGCCAUCAUCAAGCACAAGGCUCGCUUGGUGGCCCGAGGCUUCUUGCAGCAAGAAGGAGUCGACUUCGACGACGCUUUCACUCCCGUGGCACGGAUGGAGUCCGUGCGACUUCUCCUUGCGCUGGCUGCCCAGGAGGGCUGGCGUGUCCACCACAUGGACGUCAAGUCGGCAUUCCUCAACGGCGACUUGAAGGAGGAAGUCUACGUGCAUCAGCCACCGGGUUUUACGAUACCCGGCCAGGAGGGCAAGGUACUCCGCCUGCGCAAGGCUCUCUAUGGCCUGCGGCAGGCACCCAGGGCGUGGAACGCCAAGCUGGACUCCACGCUGAAGAAGAUGGGUUUCGAGCAGAGCCCGCAUGAGGCUGCCGUCUACCAACGGGGGAGUGGAGGAAAUGCCCUGCUGGUGGGCGUCUACGUUGACGACCUGGUGAUCACCGGCACCAAAGAUGCAGAGGUGGCGGCGUUCAAGGAAGACAUGAAGGCCACGCUCUAG
rnacentral:rRNA from 1 species